UCAAUCCUAGCAGCCCGAGGCUGCCUCUCUCUCCCCCUCUCCCCGGGAACACACCCGCCGCCGCCUCUCUCUGCCCUCUCCCCAAUCCAACUCGACGACGACGGCCCGCCGUCGCCGCCCCCUCCUUCCCCAUCCCGCCACCGCCUCUCUCUCCCACCCACGCUGAUCCACUCUCACAUUGCCUCCGCACCCAUCCUCCCCCUUAUCUCGCUCCCACACACAGCUGCCGGAGCCACCCCAACCCAAACCCUCUCCCUCACACCUUGAUCCGAUGUCACACCCAUCAUCGACAACCCAGAUCGAGCAGGCGGGGCGGUGCUUCCAGACCCGCGACAGCGGCAAUGGGCUCGCGUCCCAGAUCACAAGAAUGUCCCCUUCCUCUCGAUCUCAUUGUGCUCCUCUCGAUCCCAUCCCCUUCCUCCCCACAACGGAGCCUCGAUUUUGACCGCGUCUUGUUGCUGUGUGCAGAAGUCCGAGAGGCACGGGGCCGAGGACGUGUGCCAGAUCUGCGCCGACGGCCUAGGCACCACGGUGGAUGGCGGGUCUUCACUACCUGCGACGUCUGCCGCUUCCCGGUCUAGUGCCCCUGCUACGUGCAUGAGCGCAAGGACGGCACCCAGGCCUGCCUCCAGUGCAAGACCAAGUACUAGCGCUUCUGCCAGCUCGACCGCAGCGCCAAGGGCUUCAUCUCCGAGGACGAGUUCCUCUCCAUCCUGGAGUUCUCCACCAACCCGCUCUCCCAUCCACCGAAGCUCUGCUUUUAGUGCUGUCAUUCAGAUUCAGAGAUGAAGGAAAAACAGCUGAUGGACUUUGGAGUCACGUAGAUUUUGCUUGUUGUGGCAUUGCUUGAAUUUGGGUUAUUGGAUAGCUAGAGCUACGUAGGAUUUCUUCUAAUUUACUCCAGGAGACGAAGACCACGCUUCAUGAAUUCAGGGCAGCGUCGAGGUGGUCAUGUGGGAUCCUGUCGAACAGCUCGUGCUCGCUGUCGACUUCGAUGGCAGGGUCACCCGCUCCAUCGGCCUCCUCUCCGGCAGGAUGUACUACUCAGAUUUCAUCCCCUACUUCAACUCAUACACAGAGAUCUACAUCUUACAUGGCCAUUAGAAAUGCGGAAGCGUACAACAGCUGGUUUAAGAGAUUGGCCAAGUGUUAGUCGAUCUGCAAGCCGGUUUAAGAGCUUGAUUGGACGGUCCAAUUCAACACGGAGCUGAGUGUCUGUUGAAACUUUUCAUCCAUCAAGCGCCGCUUCCAAUUCAACACGGAGCUGAGUGUCUGUUGAAACUUUUCAUCCAUCAAGCGCCGCCUCCGGCCGCCCCGACGACGCCCUCGCCUCCAACCGCCCCGAUGACGCCCUCGCUUCUGCAUUUGGUCCUGAUGUAUUCCUUUGACUAAUGAAUCUAGCAGCAUCAAAGUCCAGAAUAUCCAAAAUGCCUUGGCUUGCUGAACCCUUGUGCUGGUUAGAAAUGCAGAAUUGUGAUAUUGUGCUGGGAGCACUCUUGUUACAGUCAUAAGUUAGAUUUCAGCUUUGCAUCUUUUCAGGUUUAACUGUUGGUUUACAUUGAAAUUGUUAAGCAAGUACCAAAUUGAGUGCAUAGUGUGCAAUUUGUAUUUAGUAAUCUAGUAGCUCAUAAGCAUCAGACCAUAUGUUUUCUUAUAAGCACACUAAAUUGAUGGUUGAAAGAUUUUAUAUGCUUCUGAUGCAUGAUUCUUCU